rnacentral:lncRNA from 1 species
AUGAGUGACGAAGUUUUCUUAACUGAACUCAACGGCCUUCUAUUUCAAUUAGGUCUUAAUAACCGGGAGCUUUCUCAAAAGAAGAAUGAAAUUACGCAACAAAUUGGAGAGCACAGCCUUGAAAUUGAUGAGACAAAGUCUCACAUUGAAACCCUCCAAGGACAUGUCAAGAAACUUGAAGAGGAAAUAAACGUGAAGCACAGCAGAAUCUUGAAGAACAAAGAAAAUGCAAAUGGCAUGAAGGCAACCAGCAGCCUUCUUUUUCAGUAUGAACAGAUGACGAAAGCAGACCUGGAAAGCAGAAAAGCCAGCUACAACAGCGACUUGGAAGUCUAUGAAGAGAAGAUUUCAAGCAGCAGAAAGACACUUGAGUCAUACAAAGAAAGAUAUUUUAAAAAUCCUCUUGCUCAAAAGCUGCUCAAGCUGCAGGGUGAAAGUGAUGAAAUUAGGAGUCGAAUCAAGGCCUGCAAUGAUCAAAUAAUGGCCAAACAAAAGGAGAUGGAGCAUCUCCGUGAUCCAGCAGCCAAAUUAUCUUCCUCUGAGAAGCUGUCAGACAGUGGUUUGGGCCAGCAGCCCACGGCAUAUGAAGAGCAAUCAGAGCAUCAGACUGAGGAGAACGAGACUUCUGCCAUUAAUGACAUCUCAUCCCAGCAUCUCGAUCAAACAGCUGAGCGAGAAACCUAUGCAGUAGCCAAUUUUGAGGAGGAUCGUGAACAAAACAAGGUGCAGGAUUUCCCCACCUGUCUUAACUCCCCUGAGGAUCCAAACAAAGAGCUGUGGUCCUAUCAGCAGAUGGAGGAGAAAAGUCAAGCAGAUGAAAUUGACUCUGAAGCACAGAAUCGGGAAACUUCCAAAGAAAACCAGGUUUUGGAAAAUAAGAUGGCUGUGUUGGAUGUAGAGGAUGUUCUAGAGGAAGAGAUGGAGACUAGAGCUCCUUCGGAAGAAGAGCAAGCACCAACUGAAGAGGACCACCAGGAGGUUUUCGUUUUCCCCCAGUCAUCACAUCAACAAGAUAACCCUGAGCCUCUCACAGGAAGAACAGCAUCAUUGGCUUCAACCCCAACAUUUACAUUCAACCCCAGCCCCACCGGCUCCCCACAUCGAGACACCUCCGAAGCAAAAUCUCCACAUUUCCUGUUCGCCUCCACUUCCAACGCAAGCACCCCGGGCUUUCCUGGAUUUGGAUUUGAUGUGGGCUCGUCCCAGGAAGAGGACUCAUCUUUUGCUUUCACUGGCUCCCUUUUCAGUGAGAAGAAAGCUUCAGAAGCAAAACCUUCAAGCUACCCUGAAUUCCUGUUCGACCAACCAGACAAAAGCGAGGAUUUCCAGUUUGCGUUUGCUGCCAAGAGUCCUCAGCCAGCCGGCAAAGAAAACAAGGAUGAGUUUCCAUUUUCAUUCAACUUUUAA